rnacentral:rRNA from 1 species
UGGGGAAUAUUGCACAAUGGGGGAAACCCUGAUGCAGCGACGCCGCGUGGAGGAAGAAGGUCUUCGGAUUGUAAACUCCUGUUGUUGAGGAAGAUAAUGACGGUACUCAACAAGGAAGUGACGGCUAACUACGUGCCAGCAGCCGCGGUAAAACGUAGGUCACAAGCGUUGUCCGGAAUUACUGGGUGUAAAGGGAGCGCAGGCGGGCGAUCAAGUUGGAAGUGAAAUCCAUGGGCUCAACCCAUGAACUGCUUUCAAAACUGGUCGUCUUGAGUAGUGCAGAGGUAGGCGGAAUUCCCGGUGUAGCGGUGGAAUGCGUAGAUAUCGGGAGGAACACCAGUGGCGAAGGCGGCCUACUGGGCACCAACUGACGCUGAGGCUCGAAAGUGUGGGUAGCAAACAGGAUUAGAUACCCUGGUAGUCCAUGCCGUAAACGAUGAUUACUAGGUGUUGGAGGAUUGACCCCUUCAGUGCCGCAGUUAACACAAUAAGUAAUCCACCUGGGGAGUACGACCGCAAGGUUGAAACUCAAAGGAAUUGACGGGGGCCCGCACAAGCAGUGGAGUAUGUGGUUUAAUUCGAAGCAACGCGAAGAACCUUACCAGGUCUUGACAUCCGAUGCAUAGCACAGAGAUGUGUGAAAUCCUUCGGGACAUCGAGACAGGUGGUGCAUGGUUGUCGUCAGCUCGUGUCGUGAGAUGUUGGGUUAAGUCCCGCAACGAGCGCAACCCUUAUGGUCAGUUACUACGCAAGAGGACUCUGGCCAGACUGCCGUUGACAAAACGGAGGAAGGUGGGGAUGACGUCAAAUCAUCAUGCCCUUUAUGACUUGGGCUACACACGUACUACAAUGGCGUUAAACAAAGAGAAGCAAGACCGCGAGGUGGAGCAAAACUCAGAAACAACGUCCCAGUUCGGACUGCAGGCUGCAACUCGCCUGCACGAAGUCGGAAUUGCUAGUAAUCGUGGAUCAGCAUGCCACGGUGAAUACGUUCCC